rnacentral:lncRNA from 1 species
UGCACCUUGAUCCAUGUUCAGUCCAGCCCUAAUCUGAGGAGCCAUGACACCCUCCCCCACCUAAGCCGAAGUUGCCCCCGAUGAGGUUAGGUGGUAAUUGUUGAUGAUGUCCUCAAACUACCAUAGUUUGUUACCAUACUCCUAGCUUGCUUCUGAGUCUGAUAGUCCUCUCCAUCGGACUAAGUAUUGCACUUGACUGCCCUUC